GAAAUGCGAUAAGUAAUGUGAAUUGCAGAAUUCAGUGAAUCAUCGAAUCUUUGAACGCACCUUGCGCUCCUUGGUAUUCCUUGGAGCAUGCCUGUUUGAGUAUCAUGAAAUCUUCAAAGUAAAUCUUUUGUUAACUCAAUUGGUUUCUACUUUGGUAUUGGAGGUCUUUGCAGCUUCACACCUGCUCCUCUUUGUUCAUUAGCUGGAUCUCAGUGUUAUGCUUGGUUCCACUCGGCGUGAUAAGUUAUCUAUCGAUGAGGACACUGUAAAAGGUGGCCAAGGUAAAUGCAGAUGUACCGCUUCUAAUAGUCCAUUGACUUGGACAAUACUUUUAUGAUCUGAUCUCAAAUCAGGUAGGACUACCCGCUGAACUUAAGC
rnacentral:misc_RNA from 1 species